GUUGUGGCUCAGUGGUAGAGUGCUUGCCUUGCAUGCAUGAGGCACUGGGUUCAAUCCUCAGCACAACA
rnacentral:tRNA from 1 species